rnacentral:lncRNA from 1 species
UUAUACUAUCUAGCAAAAGAUCUAUAUUUCUGGAUCGAAAAUUUUUAGUGCUUAUAUACCGACACAUUUAUAUAGGAUUUUUCAUUUUCAAAGCGUUAACAAAUUAUUGAUUUUGAAUCUUUUCGAUUGGCUAGGUAAAUGAUAUCGAGAAAAUCGUAAAUUAUUUUCUACGAACUUUAAGAAUACCUAGCAUCAAGUUUUAACGGAGCGAUCGUGCGAUUCGAAAAUCAUCAUCGAAACGGCUCAGGAGCACGGAGGCCUCCAUGCUCCUGAGAGACAGCAGCCCUGCUCUAUAUAUAUAUAGUAGUAAUAAUAAUAUAUAAAUAUAUAGAUGAGGCCUACUAAUGCUAUCGAACAGCAGGAGCCUGCCGUGUUCCAGCUUCAGGUUUCGAUCGUUGCGACUUCGCAAUCGUCGAUCGGUCUUUAAACUUGAUCAUAGAGUAUUUGAAGUAUCUAGAAAAUAAAUUUAUGAUUUUACUCAUUUUUGCCUAGUGAAGAAGGGCUCAAAAUCACGGCUGAACAAAUAAAAAUCUUACAAAAUGUAAUAUAUAAACAUUUAAAAUUUUUAAAUCAAAGAUAUUGAAUCAUUGUUUUUAUAUAGUGUAAAGAAUUUUUAUCAAAUGUCAGCGUGAUUUGGAUAUUUGCUACACNNNNNNNNNNNNNNNNNNNNNNNNNNNNNNNNNNNNNNNNNNNNNNNNNNNNNNNNNNNNNNNNNNNNNNNNNNNNNNNNNNNNNNNNNNNNNNNNNNNNNNNNNNNNNNNNNNNNNNNNNNNNNNNNNNNNNNNNNNNNNNNNNNNNNNNNNNNNNNNNNNNNNNNNNNNNNNNNNNNNNNNNNNNNNNNNNNNNNNNNNNNNNNNNNNNNNNNNNNNNNNNNNNNNNNNNNNNNNNNNNNNNNNNNNNNNNNNNNNNNNNNNNNNNNNNNNNNNNNNNNNNNNNNNNNNNNNNNNNNNNNNNNNNNNNNNNNNNNNNNNNNNNNNNNNNNNNNNNNNNNNNNNNNNNNNNNNNNNNNNNNNNNNNNNNNNNNNNNNNNNNNNNNNNNNNNNNNNNNNNNNNNNNNNNNNNNNNNNNNNNNNNNNNNNNNNNNNNNNNNNNNNNNNNNNNNNNNNNNNNNNNNNNNNNNNNNNNNNNNNNNNNNNNNNNNNNNNNNNNNNNNNNNNNNNNNNNNNNNNNNNNNNNNNNNNNGUAUUUUAGAAUAACGGUGGAACAUAUGAGAGGCAUUUUAGAAAGAAAAAAAAAAACAGGGGUAGAUCGGAUAUAUCUGAGCGUAUGAGGGGUAUAUAGGCAAUUAUCGCUAUUAAUAUAUAUAUUUAUAUGUGUAUGUAUGUAUGUAUGCAUACAUAUAUAUAGACAUAUAUAUACAGAACUAAGCUACUAUACUAUUAAUAGCACCAAGUCAUUGGUGCUAUUAGGUUUUGGGCUCUUGGAUGAAUGGAUGUGCGGUUAGAAUAAUAGUGGACCUAGGGUUGAAUAGGUGGUUGAUUAGUAUGAUCUAAUGGGUGGAAAUAGUCAAAAGGAUAGAUUUAACGGCGGAAAACUUUGUAGUACCAACUGCUUGGUGCUAUUGUAGCAUAGUAGCCAGGCUCUAUAUAUACAUAUACCUAUAAAUAUAUAUAUAUACACACAUACAUAUAUAUACAUACGUACAUAUAUAUAUAUGCAUAUGCAUAUAUACGUACAUAUAUAUAUAUAUAUGGGAUAAUUGCCUAUAUACUUCUCAAAACUUCGGAAAUAUCUCAUCGACCCUUACUUUUUUUUCUUUUCAAUAUACCCUUUAUAUAUUUCUUUAUUAUUCCAAAAUACCCGUGAGUUAAAUAUCUAUGACAAUUAAAAAAAAUUAAAAUGUUGCUUUUGUCCUUAACUUAAGGGCAAAUAAGAAAUAUUGGUGAUGAUAGAGGGGUAUAUUUGAAAAGACCAAAAAAUAAAAUACUUUUUGUGCCCCUAACUUAAGGCAAAUAAAAAAAGUGGGUGCGGUAGAAGGGUUAUUUGAAAGGACAAAAUAAUAAUUUUAUAGAAAUAAAAGAGUUUAUUAAUAGAUUUUAACUCUAGAAGUAUAUUUGAAAUAGGUUGGAACGUUAAAAGAGUAUUUUCAAUAUUAGCCUUCUAAGAGGGGGAAAUCAGAAAGUUGAAAACUUUUCAAGCGUAUAUAAGCAAUUACCUAUAUAUAUAUAUAUAUAUAUAUAUAUAUAUAGAACUAGGUUAAUAUACUAUUAAUAGUACCAAGUCAUUGGUGCUACCAAGUUUUUGGCCAUUGGAUUAAGAGAUGUGCGAUUAGGAUGAUGUGGGCUCCCUAGGGUUGAGUGGGUGGUUGGUCGAAUAGUAUAAUCUAAUGGAUAAAAAUAAUCAAAUGAUUAAAUCUAACGGUGGAAAACUCGAUAGCACUAAACCCUUGGUGCUAUCGAUAGUAUCUCAGUUGGACUAUAUAUAGUAAUAGUUAUAUAUAAUAUAAUUUUAUUAUAUAUACUAUAUAUAUAUAUAUAUAUAUAUAUAUACUAUAUAUUAGAGUGUGGCUAAGAUGCUUAUGAAGCACGGAGGGCUCUCGAUGCUUCCACUUUGUUUUCGAUAUGUCGGACUUUCGAAUUGACGAAUCGCUCCGUUAGACGUUGAUCUAGAGUAUUUGAAGUAUCUUAGAAAUAAAUUUGCGAUUUUUCGAUAAUUGUCCUAGUGAUCGAAGAUGGCUCAAAUCAACGGCUGAAAAAUAAAAUCUUACAAAUAUGAUGAUAUGACAUUAAAAUUUUAGAUAAAGUUAUUGAUCUUGUUUUUAUGGUAUAAAAAAAUUUUCUAUCACAAAUUUCAUUGUGAUUUGGAUAUUUCUACACCGUUAAACUUGCAACCGUCACACGGCCAUUAAAAUUUAUUGAUUUGAGCCUUAAUCACUAGGCAAAUGAUAUCGAAAAAUCACAAAUUUAUUUUUUUUAGGUACUUCAAAUACUCAUAGAUCAACUCUAACAGAGGCCGAUCGUUGAUUCGGAAGUUCGAACACGAAAACAAUGGAAGCGGAAGGCUCGUGCUAUCCAUAGCAUACCGGCCCACGACAUAAUAUAUAUAUAGACUUAGCUUGAAAAUAUCAUUAGCACCUAAUUAUUUGUGCUAUAUAUUUUUAGCAUUGGAUCGAGACAAUGUGCGGUUAAGAAUGAUGUGGGCCCCUAGGGUGGUGAUGGUUUAGAUUGAAUAGUAUAAUCAGACUGAUAUAUUAUACUAUAGAGAGAGAGAGAGUCGAGCAUUGCGAAUAACUAUUCGGGUAGCAAACGAGCUCCGUGCCAACCUUUGUUUUCCGAUGAUGGAGCCUUCAAAUGACGAUCGCACCGUUUGAAAAUUGAUCUUACACUUGAAGUAUCUUAGAAUUCAAAUUCAUACUUUUCCGAAUAUUGUAUUUCUUGUCCAUCAACGGCUGGGCGUAAAAUGAAUGUUGAAGCAAUGAUAUCCAUCUAAAAGUGAUGAUAGAAAUUUGUAAUCAUGAUGCUGAGAGUAUAGAUUUUGUUUAAAUACAGCUUAAAAUUCUCUAACCAAAAUUCAAUUGAUUUGGAUCAGUUUUCACUCGCUUUAAGGAGAAAACUCCUCAUAUCAACCUUAAUUACUAAAAAUUAAUUGAAACCCUUUGAUACUAAGUAAAUGAUGUCGAAAAGAUUUGAAUUUAAUUUUUAAAUACUUCAAGUGAUAUGAUCAUGUUCAAUGUGCGAUCGUCGAUUUGAAAGCUCCAUUCAUCGUGGCCUGUUUGCUCCGAUAGUAUUCCAGCAACUCUCUCUCUCUCUCUCUCUCUCUCUCUCUCCUCUCUCUCUCUCUCUUCUCUCUCUCUCUUCUCUCUCUUCUCUCUCGUAUAUAUAUAUAUAUAAUAUAUAUAUAUUAUCAUAUAUAUAUAUAUAUAUAUAUAUGCUACUUAUACUACUCAAUAGUUCAAGAGCCUAGCUACUAUGGUUUUCGGCCGUUGGAGAAAGAAUGUCGCCGGUUAGGAUGAUAGUGGUCCCCGUUUAAAUUAGAAGUGUCGCGCUCUACGCAUUGAGUGAGGUGGUUGAUUUAUAGUUAUAAUCUAACGUGGUAGAAAUGAUCAAACGGGGGUUGGAUCUAACCGGGUAGAUAAACUCAAUAAGCUACCAAAGCGGCUUGGUACUAUCGUGUAUUAGUAGCUCGGACUAUAUAUAUAUAUAAUAUAUAUAUAUCUAAUAUAUAUAUUAUAUAUAAAUUAAGCUCUAUGCUUUUUAAACAGUACAACAGUUAUUGGUGCUUGUAAUAUUUUAAACGUUGGAUUAAGGGAUGUGCGGUUAGGUAUGAUGUGGCGCCCCUAUGGUUGAGGUGGGUGCGUUGGUUAUAGUAUAAUUUUAACGGUUAAAAAAUGAUCAAGAGGAGUAACUCUAACUGGUUAAAAACUUUACAAGCCCAAAUGCCCUUGUAAUUUGUACAGGCACCAUAGCCUGAACUCUCUACUCUCUCUCCUCCUCUCUAUAUAUAUAUUAUACAACACCUACAAUCAUCAUAUGCAGUUUGCAAUGCCAAUGGCAUUUAUUUUUGAAAAUUAAAUAAUUUUUUUUCUAAAAUAUAUUUAAUUUUAAGUAUUUAAUGAAUGAAUAUAGAUUACUUUUAUACUAUUAUCCUAUUACUUACUGUCUCACAUCUCAUCAGGCUUAUAGUUGGCUAGGAGAUUUUAAUUUUUUUAUAACACUCAAUAUCUAAUUAUUCAAUAUAAUUAUAUAUAUAUAUAUAUAUAUAUAUAUAUUGAUUUGAAGAAGAUCGUAAAAAUAUUAAUACAAUUUUGGGAUAAUUUUGAAUUCUAUCGCUUAUAUUUUGAGAAGUUUUUGUCUAUACCCAAUGUACAUAUUUUAUAUACUACAUUCAAUAUUUAACGUUUAUUUUUUAAAAAUUAUAUAUUAAAAUUUAUAAAUUUUUAAAAUCAUAAUUUCUAAGUAUUAAUUGAACAUAAAAAUUAACAAUAUAAAAAAAAUUUGAUGAAUUUGGUAAGUAGAUGCUCAAAAUAUAUAAUGUCAUAGAGGUAUGAUUAUAUUUAUGAAUUUUGUAAUUUUUUUUAAUUUCAUAAAAUAUGAAUUGAAUUCUAAUUUUUAGAAAGAGCAUACAUGCGAGCGUAAGUUGAAAUGAAGAAGACCACGUUGCUCCUGCCGUUCGCGGUGUUGAAUUUGAAAGUCUUGGUCGCGAGGUUGCUGCUAAUCUGUAAGGCGACGCGAGAGCCAGAUUUACAAGAAAUACAAAUAUGGAGAAUACCUCACAAAUAUGGAGACGAAGAAAAGUUGUGGAAGCAUCCGUAGGAGAUUUCACAAACCCCACGUUGCUAUCAAUGUCCUCUACGUAGAAGAUGAAAUCUUGAAUGCAAUGUUGCCGGUAGAGCGAGGUGGCACAGGAAACGGAGUCGCCGGAGAAACCGUGGAAGGUUAAUGAGGUGGAUCGAUCGAAGUGGGAGGCAUGCUUUGGAAAGGAUUUAGGGUUUUUAAGUUUGUUUAAGGUGUGUUUGGUUUGAAAUAAAAGAGGGUGAAAAAAAAUUCGGAUGAAAAAUAGUUUACGGGUUCGAAUUUAAAAAAUUUUCAUCGAACCCUCUUUUGUUUUCCAUGCGAGACCGAUGAAAAACGAAAGGCGUACGACGAAAAUCGCAGCUCACGCCUCAUCUCUGAGGAGCGUGUUUUCACGCGGUGGACAGCGUGAAAGGGAGGUCCUUGCUAGACCUCCUUUCGUUACAUUUAUAUUUUACGCAGUCCACGAUGCCAUUUUGGCGUCGUGGACCACGCGAGAGGGAGGUCAAUGCUGGACCUCCCUGUCAUGUGUGUAUAUAUAUAAUUUUAUUUAUAAAUAUUUAUUUUUUUUAUUAUAUAUAAUAUUUUAUUUUUAUAUAAAGAUAAAUAUAAUAUUUUAUUUAUAAAUUUAUAAUUAUUUAUUAAUAUUCCUAAAUAUAUUUAAAUCUAUAAAUAGAAAUUAAUAAUAAUAAUAUAUAUAAGAUAAUAAUUAUUAUAUAUUAAUAAUAUAUAUAAUAAAAAAUUUAUUAAAUAAUUUUUUAUCUAUUUUUUUUUUUUACAAACUAAAUACUAAAUAACGUAAAAUUUUUUUCCCACUGAAAAUUUUUUUCACCGAAAAUUUUUUUUCCAUAGUUUUACAUGAAACCAAACACACCCUUAGGAUUUCUUUCACUUCGCACAAGAGGAAAAAGGUGAAAAUGCACUAUAUGCCUUAUAGUACAAGAAAGUUACAAUAAAAAAAAUAUAAUAAAAAAUUAGGACAAUCUUUUGUGGCCAACUAUAAAUUUGGCCAUACAUAUAGAUGUUAUUAGUGGAAAAAUUGUAAAACAACAACAAAUACAAAGCAAUUUUUACACAUAUUUUUGGCAUUGUAAUUUUUGCCGCCAAAUAUUAUUUUACCUAGCCCCAAAACACAUUUAGAAUUUAUGGCCAUAUGUAUUGCCACAGCAAAUAGAAUUUUUUUUGCGGCCAACAAACAAAAAUAGUCACAAACUGUUUAGGAAAUUUUGGCGACAAAUUCACCACAGUUAUUUCUUAAUUGUUUUUGUGACCAAAAUUUGCUAUGGCUAUAUAUAGUGCAUCGAAUUAGUGGCAAUAAUUAAUAAAUCCCCACAAUAGAUAUAUGAUAAUUUGAGUUAAGAUUAAUAGUGAGGACAAGUUGAAAGACGUCACAAAAAAUGUGUAUAUUGUGGCGGUUAUAAAUUUCCCACAAAUAAUUUGCCACAAAAAAUCCUUUUUCUUAUAGUGAAAUAAAGUUUUAAACUUGUGAAUCUCUUAAUUCUGAUGCUAAAACUUUAAGCAUAAUCAAACUCUUAUAUCUCUAAUUAAGAUUUGCUCUUAUCUCAAAGUUUGAGUUAGUAAGCAACGUUUGAUCACAUCAUACCAUGUACAAAAAGUGUCUCCACAGUCCCAGCGCGAGAAAAAAGUUUACUGUAUCAUAUUUGUAAUAUAUUACCAACAACCUGUCAAUUAUAUUUCAUUUAUUGAGAGAAAAAUAAAUCAAAAAUAUUUUUCUAAUAAUUAUUAUGAGGUGGGCGAAUCCAAAAAAAAAAAAAAAAAUCUGAUUAGCCGAAAAACAUUAUAUCAGAAAUAUAAUUGGUACGUACUAAACUUUUUUAGAUGUGGAAGAGGUACUUUUCCCCCCAAAACGUGUCUGCCACAACAAAUGGCCUUUAUUAGUUUAAGGGAAAACUUCAAAAACUCCCCAGUAGUUUCGUAGUUUCUUACUUUGUCCCUCUAUGAUUUAAAAUGUAUCAAUUUGCUCCCCUAUGAUUUCUUUUUUUUUCUUUUUCUUAUCAAUUUCAUUAUUUUUUUUUCUUAAAUCAGUGAUAAAGUUAAAAUUAAAUGGUACUAAAAUAAAUAUUUGAUAAAUUUAGAUGGAUAUUUGAAGUUUUUUGUAUAUAAUUUAAUGAAAUAUUAACGAAAAAACUAUCAAAAAGAUAAAAACGAAAUCACAGAGGAGCAAAUUGAUACACUUUAAAUUACAGAAUACUAAAGUGAGAAACUACAAAAUCACAGGGGUUUUUUUUUGAAGUUUUCCCUUAGUUUAAAGACUAAACUCAACCUUCUACGACCCAGUCAUAUUCGUAUGGUUGGAAAUAAUUAAACAAUAUAUGUACUAGGAAAUAAUUAAACAAUAUAUGUACUACCAAGUCCACUCCCUUCACAUUUAAAUAGAUCUCCUCACCAACGCAAUCACCAUCAAAAAAAAUAAAAGAAGAAACCAAAAGGGAGCAAACUACACCCUACUUUUCGCUACCUCGUCGUUCUUUCGCAAGAGCUUUAGUUUUCAAGUGAUCUCGAAAUCGAAACAGAAACCGGCGUAUAUACAUCUGAAACUAUGCCGGGUUGUUUACAUUCCUCCGCCCCUCGCAUGUCGUCGUCAUCGUCGUCGUCGUCGUCACGGCCUCAGCAGGUUCGAACCGGGUCUGCGAGAACCCACCCCCGGUACAUCCCGAAACGGGGAACGAUUCUGAAGCGCAUCCUGAGAAGCCUCUCUUGCAUUGGCGCGCCGACACGUACCCGGCCGACAAACUCCGGUGGCAAUUGAUUCUGAAUUGGAUUGGAUUGGAUUAAAUGAGAUUGGUGGAGGGUUUAGACUUAUUGGGUUGGAUCGGAUAGUUGACAAUGUAGCCUAAUUUGGUUGUGGAUUUCGACAACCUUUUUUUAUUUGUGCUCUGACAUAGUUUAGAAUUUAAUUUUGAGGCGUUCAAAAAAAAAUAAUUGAUGUAAUUUUUUUUGAAAAAUAGUAAUUCCGACUAUUUCCUAUUUUUGGUUAUUGGAUUGAGGGUGUUCUAUGAGCUUUGAAUUAAAAGCAACGAAUAAACGUUAAUUUGAAUUAUUAUUGGGAUAUAAAUAUAAGCUUGUAGAAUUUUCUCCCCCCAAAUUAACGAUGACAUUUGUUUAAUAAAAAAAAAUCUAAUUAGUUUCUGAAAUUCCAAGUUCGAAAUCUCCCUCGCGGCCGUGCGGAGACAAAAAAAAAAAAAAAAAAAACUUGCAAUUGCAUUUGCAUCCUUAUUGAUUAUAUACCUCCAAAUGCAUUUCUAAUUAUAUAUAUCUCUAAUUGUAACGAGUGCGUAUAAAUCUCCCCUUUGUUUGAUUGCAAAUAAUGGCAUAAAAGAGAUUGGGUUUUUAUAUAAAUGGCACCAAAUAUCACUGAAGCACGAAAAGCAUACAAAAUGAGAGAAUAUGAGGUCAAAAUUGUGAACCCUAACUGCCAAUCAAUUAUCCCAAAAAUACGUAUUUAUAGAAAAGGCACGCCCACUAUAUUUAAGGGCAUAGUCAUAAUACUUAUGAACUUCGAUCUGAUUCAAUCCAUCUGAAUGCUAGGUCUAUUGUUGGGGCUCUUACCGUUAGGUCUCUUAUACAAGACUGCAGUUCCACUCAACUUAUUAGACUUAUCCAACUUAAUUUAUUAGUCUGUUGGACUUAUUGUCACAAAAAAAAAAGAAUUAAAUUUAUUUUAACCAAAUAAUAAAUAACUAAUAAAAAUAUAGCCAGCCUAUUUCACUUGUUAUUUUAAUUUUUUUAACUUAAAAAAGACUCAGUCGUGCGGAGACAAUUCUGGCACAAUUUGGACUUCAUGAUUGGUCAAGCUAAUAAAAAAUAAAAAAUACUACUUAAUUGGAUUAUACCAUCUCACGAGCCCAUGGGCUUGGAUUUUUUAUUUUUAUUUUUUUAUUUAUUAUUAUUAUUAUUAUUUUUUUUUUGUACAUAUGUAGAUCUUGGACUACAUUAGAAUAAGAGAUUUCGUAAUAAUUCUGCUGUUGUCGGUUUUGGAACUGUAAAAAAAAAUCAAAGAAAAUAAUUUUCAAGAAAUUUAUUUUUCAAUUUUUCGCUCAUUUUAUUGAAGGAAAAUAACUAUUUUGAAAAUUAUUUUUCAUACUUUCGAAAAAUACCACUUUUUUUUUCAUUUUUAAAAAAAAAUAAAAUACUAAGUUUUCAUAAAGCUUGUUUUGCUUAGGCUAAGCGAUGAAAAACUGAAAAUUAAUUUUUUAUAAAAAAAAAUUUCUCGAAAUUUUUUUUUCAUUUCCUUUCGAUGAAGCCAAAUACACCCUUAAUUUUCUUACAUGAAAGGUCUGGACAUUUUUUCAAUUCUUAUUACCAAUAUUAACGGGAAGUGUUCAAAUGAAGCAAAGAGUUUGGAGGGACAUGAAUUUUCGGGCAUUUAUCUGAUAUAUAGUAGAUCCUUUUAUAUAUAUAUAAUAUAUUAAUAUUAUAUAAAUAUAUAUAUAUAUAUGGUUGAGCCUGGCAAUACUAUCGGUAGCAAACGAGCUCCGUUGCCAUUUCAUUUGUUUCUCGAUGAUUGGAGCCUCCAAAUUCGACGAUCCGAGCUACCAGAGAAAUGAUCUAUACACUUGAAAUAUUUAGAAAUCAAAUUUCAUACUUUUCGAUGUUGUUUUCUUGGUCCUUAUAAGUAGGCGUCAAAAAUGAAUGGCCUGAAAAUGAAUCUCUCUAAAACAGUGUAUGAUAGAAAUUUUGUAAUCAUGAUCAGAGAGUAUUAGACUUGUUCUAAAUAGUUUAAAGAAUUUCUAACCAAAUUAAUUGAUUGGAUAACGUACCCAGUUAUAACAGAAACCGCCUGCAUAUAACCAUUAAAAUUACUAAUUUUUGAACCACUUGAUCAUUAGGUAAAUGAUGUCGAAAGAUUUGAAAUUGGAUUCUAGAUUCUUCAAGUGAUAUAGAUCAUGUUCAACCGGUGUCCGACGUCGAUUUGAAAAGCUCCAUAUCGAAACAACAUGGGUGGAACGGACCCGUUGCUACCGAUCAGUAUUCCAGCUCAACUCUAUAUAUAUAUAGUAUAAUAGCACGUGCCCCCUGCAUGUAUUUCAUGCUUACUAAUUAGAGGUGGUUGUACAGCUCUUAUUAAAUUUCCUUCUCUCGUCUCUGGAGCCAUAGCGAGGGGAGGACAUUGGUGAGACGUUACGCUUGCCGACGUAGCAUCGCCGAGCCGUAUUUAGCGCCGUUUUCGCCUAACCGUCGGUCAUGAAGGACAGCGAGCGGACGUGCAUUUAACGUGUCUCGACGCCGACCGGGCGAUGGAUUCGCGUUCGAUGUGGGUACCUAACUGUCCUUCUUGGUUUCUGUAACGCACGGUUGUUGAGCUUCGCGUGCUGAUUUACUGAUUUUAGCGUCGACGUUAGUGUUUCGGAUCAUACUCGACGUAGGACGUCGGAUUUUAGACGGACUUGGUUCGUUGGAUUUGGGACUUCGAGAGGAAUCCCGAAGCCUUAUUUGCUGGAUUUUGGUGAAGGUUUUGCGUAGGUCGUUCCCUAUUCUUUCUGCUGCUGCUGCUUGGGCAGAAUUGAUGUAAUAUGGGUUUCUAUGUUUAGACCCAUGGAGCGUGGUGUCGCUGGUUCGGGGAGCUGCGCCGAGCUUGACAGGGACUCCGGUGACCUUUCUUCACCAUCGGGGAUUUGCCGAUUAGGUGGGUAAUCAUCGGUUUACUCCUAAGUGCUAUAUAAUCGACAUGUAAUGUGGAAUUAUCUUGAGGGCGCAAUUGCUGGUUUAUUGAUUUAGUAUGGUAAUAAUCUGAAUUGAGCUGGUUAUUAUCUUUGGAUAUUAUAUAUAUAUAAAUAUAUUAUAUACAUGUUGGACUUGGAUAAGACUUAGGAGAAUAAGUGAGAUUAUGAUCGUCAUAUAUUUAAAACUAGGGGUGGAACUAGGCCGGCUUAGGUCGGUAAUACUAUGCCCAAGCCCGGCCCAAAAGAAAAUGUUGGGCUUCGAGUCGGGCUUUUUCCCAUUUGUUUGAAAAUAAGGCCCGGCUCAAGCCAAAGCCCAAGGCCAAACCAUCGCUUUGUGGAAGCCCAUUUUAUACAUUUAUAUAUAAUACAUAAAUAUUUUAUUUGUAUAAUAAUAUGUACCAUAUAUUACUCAUAUGAUAUAUAUAUUAAUUAAUUAUAAUAAUAAUAUACUAUUUAAUAUAUCCUAAUAUGAACUAAAUAUUUUGUUAAUAUAUAAUAUAUCCUCAUAAUAUAUAUUAGUAUAUUCAUUAAAAACACAUUAUUACUUAUAUGAUAUAUUAUAUAAUUUAUUCUUUUUAAAUAAAUAUAUAUAUAUAUAUUAUUAAAUAUUUUAUUUUAAUAAUUAAUAUAUGGGCUUUUGGGUCGGGCUCGGGCCGGGCUUGGACAUGCCAAAUAAGCCCAAAAUUUUUCGGGCUAAAUUUGAAGCCCGGCCUGAACCCAAAGUUAAAUUUUUAAUACCCAAAGCCCGCCGAACAUGCGCCAUCGAGCCGAGCCUUGUUUAGGCCCGCGCGCCAGUUCCACCCUAAUUAUAAACUACCUAUUUAGCCCUAAGGCGUUGUAUAUUUUAUACGUGGCAGUACCUAAUUAGUGAGUAGUCUGCAGAUAGUAUUAGCUUAUCCAGUUACGCAUCGUCCGGGAUGCCGGUAAUUUUACAAUAGUCGUUCAGGCGUUCGACUGUUGGUGCGUCGGGUUGUACGUUGGGACCCGGUAUCGCAUUUUUCGGCGUUCGGAUUGUGCGACGGAUUGUUACCUGUGGUGUGUAUAGACCAGUUUGAGUCGUGACUGGACUUUGGCUUUGAGAAGCUUGAUUCGAGCUCCGACAGAAUACGGCUGCCAUACUGUUGGUGCUCCACGAAGUUGCCACUCCGGAGCGGAGCUUUUGCUUUCGCUUGCAUGUUCGUCAUGCCGCGUUGGACUGCUCUCCACGGAACCAGUAGUGUGGAUGGAGCUGGAAUAGUCGCACUGGGCAGGGACGGUAUGUAUUGCACGAGUCCAGACGGGUAGGCUUACAGUCCCGAUUGGAGUUGGGUCAGAUUUGUUUUCCUACAGUUCGUUAGUGAAGAGCAUGGAAUUCAGUAUAGAUUGAUAUGCCGUAGAGUUACUUCCUGCUUCCGACUAGUUCUUUGCUCCGUCUGUCUAAGACUUAGUGGCGUGCGACCGGACUUGUUUUUUGGGCCGGACCCACUGAGGACACUUGUUUUUACAGUAUAUCAUCACGCCCAGGUAGUCUCUGAUUUUUGCAGAGCCACAGGUUUCGACUGCCCUGACCUUACCGCGGUCGUAGGAUCGAGGCAAAGGCGUCGCAAUGUUAGAGCCCUACCGCACGAGCAGAGCUGAGCCCCCUACGUAGCAUAGAUGUUCUGUUGUUCGAGUUUAUGUUACAUAGCUACUUAACUCGCAGUGCGAGUACUCAUUGUAUUUUGGAUUUGGUCUAUGUAUAUUUAAAACUCAGUUGGUUUAGCUUGUUUAUUCGAGCAGCUCUAUGUACUGUUUGUAGGUAUCUGUAUACCUACAGUACAGCUGUCCUUCGUAUACAGAGGGAAAUUCUGUUGCUAUACGGCGGAUUUGUCGACGUGCCCGGGAACGAGACUAUCCGGGCGUGACAGAUUAAGUGGUUCAGAGCUUAGCUGUGUCGGUGGGACACUGAAAACCUAAAGUUUGGCAAAUCUUAGGAAGGCAAGAUCGAGAGGCGUAAUUUAUUGCGCAAAUCACAUGGAUUAAUUGUUCUAACCUCCUCCAAGAGUGGGCUCGUGAGUGAUUUGAAGAGACGUGUUUUGCCUGAGACAAUUAUGUGGCCUGAGACGACAUAAUUUUGGAGAGAAACAGGGAACCCCUUCAGACUUUCAUUGAAUGGUCGAGAGUGUUGUUGUAUCUAGACCCCGAUUUGUUCCUUUCAGCUAAUGUAAUCGUCCCAAAGGUCGACCGUCGUUGCAGAGACGUGCUAGUUAGCACGGGAUCGUGCAGGACCUCCGAGGAGACCUGAGCAGAUGAGCAGAGAGUACUCGCAGAGCAGGAACCUGACAGACCGGAGGCGCAGUGCACCCCCUUGUGGAGCGAUGUGCGGCGGACUGAGGCUAGCGCACCCCCUGAUCUGAGUGCACAGUUAGCUGCCCUGACGUGAGGUGACGACGGAGUAGGGGAGAGUUGUUGCAGAGGUUGUGUUGAGAGGUUAACUCAGUCACGAGAUCAGCAUCGAGAGUACACAAGAGCAGAUGAUUCGGCCACUGCACUUCAAGGUCGCAGUACCAGCGCGCUUGCCCCACCGUGGAGCUUCUACCAGCCCAUUGGGCUGCUAGGGGCCCGCUACAAGUUGACAGAGGGCGAAUGCAGGAGAGCUGUGGCGGACGAUGGUUGCGUUCGUUGUUCGUCGCUUUGAAUCCACCGCCAUUUACGAUGGCAGCAUGCACUGAGGCCUGGGUUGUUCAGGAUUAGGUCAGAUGCGAUCAGAGAAGCUCGUAUUUGAGUCUGAUCAUUCGGAGGGAAAGCAGGCAUCUCUGGGAGUACACUGUUUGCAGGUGAUGUCAUGACUGGUGCGGACGAGCCGAGCGCGAGAGCAGGUAGCUGUGGGGCGCAGGCUGAGGUGGAUGAGUGUUGUGAAUGCUGUGUGGGAUGUUCUUUCCAAACAGGUGAUGAAACAGAGCUCAAGGAGGAAUUUGAGGAGCUAUCAGCAGGAGAUCGCCAGUGCAGGAGUACUUCCGAGAGUUUACUCGACUCCUGAACUGAUGGUACCUAUUUGCGGCAGAGACGAAGCGCACAGGAGGUGCUAUGUUCGAGCACGGGCUGAGACCGGAUAGCUUAUAGGUUGACUCGGACGCAGAGGUCGAGCAACUCUGGAGUGUGUCUAGUAGAGCAGCCUUGUGGGUGGAGCGAAGGUGAGACAUCGCUAUAGGAAGAGGAUCAGGCCGUAGGGUAGAGUCAGAUAGGGAAGCGCCCAUUUCAGAUGACGGCGACAGUCGAGCAGCAACGUUCGCGCGAGAGCGCCGUCCACGAUCAUUUCAGGUCGGGUUUCGGAUGGCUCGCGUCCGCGUUAGGGCAUCCCGUCAGCAGGGGGCAGAUCAGGGGACGCCACAGUGUGGUGGAUCUGGCGGGCGACCACACUGGCCCCAGCAGUACGAGUUAGAGAGAGGGCAGAUGCUACGGAUGUGGUCAGCCGGGACAUAUGAGGGCCAGCUUUUUUUCGCCGAGUCAGCUAUCUCCAUCACACCAUCACUCAGCUUCAGCCCCAUCAGCACUCAGCAUCUUACGACGCGCACGAGUUUACCGCACAGGGGACAGAUCGUCUGGCCGCCGUCAGGUGACGCGGACGACAGCAGGCUCGAAAUGGCAGGAGUCUCGCUAGCUCAGGCGAUUGAGGAUUCUCAGCAGCACCGACGUGGUGCACGCUUCAUUUUGAUUUCUGGCAUGUAGAGUUCGCACUCUUUUUGAUACCGGUGGCAUCGCGUUCCUUUGUUAAGCGAGAUUUGCACAGUUGCAUGCGGUCUAUAGUUAGGAGCGUGUAUCUCAGCACGAGAAGGGUGCAGAUCCGGCCAUGUCUUACAGGUUACAGAGUGUUGUUGUGUCCUUCGCAUCCGGUGCCGUUAACUUUGGAUCAUGCCCGCAGACAUUGUUGUGUAUAGUGGUGUGGCAGCAUGCAGGACUUCGACGCUCAUGCUCGGUAUAUGGAUUGGCAUGGCGCGGCACGUACAUGUCGUCACUUGGAGCGAUUGGUGACUUCCGCGAGCCAGGCCGGCGGGGGUUCACUUUCAGAGGCUGCAGGAGUACGUUGUUUGGCCACCUGAAUAUCUCGCUAGGGCUACGACAGAUGCCUGAGUAGUGGUGUAUCGUCUUUCUAGCGACUGUGUGAGUACUACGCGUGCUUGUAUGGGGACGGUUUUAUCCUCUUUUAGUCUGCAAGUUUCGGAUUGUGUUUCCCCUGAGUUGACGACGUGCCGCCGGAGAAGAGAUGAGUUGUGAUUGAUGUAGCUUCCUGGAACUGCACAAUCUCAAAAGGUAACCUUACCGGAUGGCGCCGCAGAGCUGAGAGAGCCUAAAGGCAUCAGGCUUCAGGAUUAUGAUGUAAGUGGCUUGAGACCCAGCUGUGUCCCUUGGGGAGCGCCGUCGGGUUAUUUGUAAAGAAGAUAGGCAUUUCAGAUUGGCCUAGACCGACGUAACGGUUACUGAGGUUCGCGAACUCUUGGGAACUGGCCAGGAUAUUACCGUCGGUUUGUGGAAGCUUUGCAGAAACUUUCCACAUCCCUACACGCUUGACGCGGUAGGAUUGUUUGUCUGGGACGUACGUUCAGGAGCUUUGACGAGUUAGAGACUGAGGUUGAGUCGGGCUCCUAUCCUUGCUCCGGUGCAGUAGGGGAUGGAUCGUGAUCUACAGUGAUGCAUACGCAACAGUGACUUAGUUGCGUGAUGAUGCAGCAUCGGUAGGGUGUUGCUUUAGGCUUCACGGCAAUUAAAGUAUGAGAGAGAUUACGACGCAUGACUAUGCGAGCUUGCCGCGGGCGUUUUUGCUCGAAGUCCUGCAGGCCAUACUGUAGUGGCGAGCAUGCGAGGUCUUCUGCACGAUCAUAAAGUCUCAAGUAUCUGUUCACACAGAGAGAGCUGAACCUGAGGCAGCGCCGGUGUUGGAGUUACUGAAGCAGACGAUGACAUACGUAGUUCAGUAUCCAUCCAGCAAGCGUGGAAUGUGUGUGCAUUUAUCGUGUUGAUGCAGGAAGUCAGCUGACAGAGCCUGAGUUGAGGAUGCACUGAGCAGAGACCUGUACUCAGGAGCUUGGAAGCGCUGGGACUCGAAGAUAUACCCCCCUGGGUCUGCUGGAGGCUGACGUCUCAGUUUUACAGCCCACUCUGUUGGAUAGGAUCCUGAGAGAAAACAGAGUGUGAGAUCACUGUACUUGAUGAGGAUUAGAGAGCAGCUAGGCCAGGGCGUGAGGCCUGAAGUUUUGCUUUUAGACAUUCGGGACGUACUACGUACAGGACCGAUUGGGUGUGCCUGGAUUGAUUUAAGCAGGACAUUCUGAGAGAGGCUCAUGUUUCUCUUAUAUGGUUACCCUGGGAAUCCAAACUCAUUAAGGAGCUCGUUAAGCGCACGGUUCUGAGUUGACCUUGUGAUAUUGAAGAGGGUGCAUUGGCAGAUUUGUGCGUCAGUGUUUGACUUGCAACAAGUGUAAGGUUUCGUAGCAAGUCAGCGUGCCUGCUGGCAAGGCUUCAAGAGUCUGCCAGUGCCACGAGUGAAAGUGGGAGAUAGCAAUCACGAUCGGACUUUCGUCGUUUGGAUUGCUCGAGCCAGGGUGGCUACGACGCGAUUGGGUGGAUACGUGGACAGACUGACCAAAGUCUUUUGCCUCAUUCCUAUCAGUCAGACAUCUGGUCGCAGAGAGAGAUUCGCCCUCAUGUGACUGGAUGAAUUGUUGAGGAUUGCUGAGCGUGCCCACUUCAGAUAGUAUCCGACCGAGACCGGGUUGUCUCGCCACUUUUGUGAGAGUCAUUCAGACAGUUGCGGGCACUCAGCUUGGCAGUGAGUCGUACAGCGUUUCACCCACAGACAGGAUUGGUCAGUCAGAGCGGACCAUUCAGACUUCUAGAUGAGGACAUGCCUAGAGUGCUUAAUUUAGGAGGGUGUGGUAUCUGCAUUGAGACUGCUUAGUUGCGCGACAAACAACAGCUAUCAAGCGGAGCAUUCCAGAUGGCCUCCGUUUCGAGGCGUUGGUAUGGAACACAGAUGCAUCCCCUUUGUUUUGGAGUCGAGUGGGUGAGAGGAUACGCGUUGGUGCCUGAGAUUCUGAUUAUGGCUGAGCGAAAAGGUAAAGGAGGCGCCGACGGGAUUGUCUAGCAGCCCGAGAGGUCAAACGAGGAGCUAUGCUGAGAUACCGCGGAAGGACGAGACUUGGGUUCUCCAGGUGGGAGAUCAUGUUUUAUCUCAAAGUCUGCGCGUCAAAGGUAUUCGGCCAGAUUUGAAGUAGUGGACAAGCUCAGUCCACGUUUAUGUAGGCCCUUUCGAGGUUUUGGAGCGAGUCGCCCAGUUGCUUACAAGGAUUGCUCUACACCGACUAGCCGGCAUUCACGAUGUUUUUCCAAUCUCAGCUUUGAGGAGAGUAUGUUUUCGUGAUCCCUCCACUGUGACUCGACUUCACUGCCACUCAGAUUGGCGAGAUUCUGAGAUACGAGAUGACUGUUGGACAAUCUGCUCGAGAGACGGAAGAAUAGCGCAACCGAUCAUUCCGGGUAUGUGAAGCAGUUGAGGCAAUCACGCAGGGCGGGAGGACUUGGGAGCCUGAGACAGUGAUGAGGGAAGUUACCCAGACUUGUUGAUUCUUCAAGUGAGAUGUGCUAUAGUUUCGAGGACGAAACUUUCUUGUAGUGGGAGGAAUGUAGAUCCUUAUGAAUAUAUAUAUAUAUAUAUAUAUUAUAUAUAUAGUAUAUAUAUAAUAUAUAUCAUAUAUAUAUAUAUAUAAUAUAAGAUAUGAGCUACGGAGUUACUUUCAGUCAUCAAUCAUGGUUCUAUAUAGGCUUUUAUUAAGCCAUUGGGAUCUACUUUUGAUUAUUAAUAGCGCCUUGGAUUAAACACUAUUCACCUACACCACCUACACCAUCACUUCAACCUCACAUCUCUCCAUCCAAGGGCUGAAAACACACAAGAUUCACCCCCAUGAUACUUUACAAGUAUCUACCUCUCUCUAUUACUAUAUAUAUAUAUACAAAUGCCACAGUGCCCCCAUGCAUGUAAUUUCAUGCUUAGCAUUAAUUAGGGGUUGUACAUGCCUCCUUUAAUUAAAUUUUGCUCUCUCUCUGUCUCUGGCCUACGCACGAGGAGCGAGACCUUGGUCGAUGCGUCGUAUGCCGAGUCGCAUCCCAGAGCCGUUUGAGCUGCACGUUGUCGCCGUAACGUCGCAUGAGGCCGGCUUGAGGUGCAUUUUUCAUCCUGUCCUCGACGUUCGCCACCGGCGCGUAUUCACUGUCGAUGUUUGUGUGGGUGUACCUAACGUUCAUUCUAUGAUUUACUUGAAGCACGGUUUGAGCUCGCGUCCUUGAUUUUACUGAUUUCAGCGUCGACGUUAUGUUUCGCUCAUACUCGAUAGGAACGUCGGUAUUUCGAGCGGGAUUGGUUCUGUAUUGUCAGACUGCGCAGAGAAUCACGACGCCCUUAUUGCUGGAUUCUUGGUGAAGGUCUGCGCUAGUGAUGAUCCCUAUUUGUUCUAAUGGUGCGUUUGCUGUCUUUGUUGUUGGGUGGAAUUGAUGCUUCAAUAUGCGUUUCUAUGUUUAGGACCAUAUGGAGCGGUGUUAGUCGCUAGGUUCGGAGCUGCCGAGCUUGACAGCGGACUCGCGUGACCUUCUUUCACCAUCGGGGAUUUGCGAUUAAGGUGGGUUAAUCAUCGGUUUACUCCUAAGUGCCUAUAUAGUCGACAUGUAAUUGUGGAAUUAUCUUGUGUGGCGCAAUUGCUCGGUUUAUUGAUUUAGUAUGGUUAAUAAUCUGAAUUGGAGCUGAGUUAUUAUCUUUGGAUAUAUAUAUAUAUAUAUAUACAUGUUGGACUUGGAAAAGACUUAGGAGAAAACUCGCGAUUAUGAUCGUCAUAUAUUUAAACUACCUGAUUUAGCCCUAGGGACCGUUGUAUUAUUUUAUACUGUAGCAGUAUCCUCAUAGUGGGUAUUCCAGAUAGUUUAGCUUUCAGUUACGCUCGUGCCGGGAUGCCGAGUAUAUUUUUACAGUAGCGUUCAGGCUGUUCCGGACUGUUGGGUGCCGUCGGGGUUGUCGGUGGACCCGUAUCGCAUUUUUGGCGUCGGAUUGUGCCGAGGGCACGUUACCUGUUGGUUGUUAGACCAGUUUGAGUCGGUUACUGGACUUUGGACUUGCUCUCCAUGGACCAGUUAGUGUGGAUGGAGUUGGAUAGUCGCAACUGGGCAGGGACGGGUGUAUUCACAGUCCCAGGGACGGGUAGGCUUACAGUCCCGAUUGGAUUGGGUCAGAUUUGACAUUUCCUACAGUUCGUUAGUGUAGAGCAUGUUAGUAUAGUGAUUGAUAGCGGUAGAGUUUAUUUCCUGCUUUUCCGACUAUUCUUGCUCCCUUCUGUAGACUUAGUGGGUGGACCGAUGUUGUUUUGGGCGGUACCCACUGAGGACUACUUGUUUUUACAGUAGUUCUCACGCUCAGUUGUUACUCCUGUUUUUGCAGAGCCACAGGUUUCGACUGCUGCACUUUCCGCGGAUCAGGAUCGAGGCAAGGGCGUCGCAAGUUAGAGCCCUACCCGACGAGCAGAGCUAGAGGCCCCCUACUGCAGGUAGAUGUUUUGUUUCGAGUUUAUGUACAUAGCCUACUUAACUCGCCAAUGCGAGUAACUCUGUAUUUUGGAUUUAGUCUAUGUAUAUGAAACUCAGUUUGUUUAGCUUUUGUUUAUUCGAGCAGCUCUAUGCUACUGUUUGUAGUAUUGUAUAUCUACAGGUACAGCUGUCGCUUCGUAUACAGGAAAAAUUCUUUUGUAUACGGCGGAUUUGUCGACGUGCCCGGGGAACGAGACAUCCGGGGCGUGACAGAUAAUAUAAAAUAACUAUUUAUCUUCAAAAUCUUUAAAUUAAGUUUAAUUACAGUGGAUCACAAUUAAAUUUUUAAUUUUAAAAUAAAUAUGAAUUAACUUUUGAUGCUUAUAGUUUAAAAAACAUACUUAAAAUUAUUAAUUAAAAUUUGAUAUUCAAAAUUAAAUUUAAUUCAUGAUUUUAAUUUUAAUUUUAUAAAUUUAAAUCUCAAACUUCAAAUUUAAGAUGAGAUAAAAUUUAAAGUUCUAUAAGAUUAAAAUUUAAAUAUAUAUUUUAUAUUAAAUUCAAAUUUGAUAAUUAGUUGCAAUCAAUAAAAAUAUUAAUAUAGCAACUAAGACUUCAUUUGAGAUCGUAGAAAAAUUGUGUUAUUUGCGGUGAGAAAAUACAAUGCAAAAAUACUUUGUUUGUUUCCGUACGUAAUAUUACGUCCGCAUAUCGUAAUUAAUCAGUUGCGAUAUAUUUUCUGCGAUCCUAUCAGAAAAUGCAAAAAUAUAUCUUUAUAUAUUUUUACCUUAAUUUUAUUUUAUCUAAUAAUGUCAGAUAUGCAUGUCAAGAUAUGAUGAUGCUACUUUGCAGUGGCCAAUGAAAGACCUCGUGCAUAGGAUAUGUGCGGACAAGCUUUAUAAAAAGUUAUAGAUAUACUCUCAAAAAAAAAAAAGUUAUUGAUAUAUUUAGCGGUUAAUUAACGCUAAAUUAACAAAGUACCUGCUUGAACCGCAAGAAAGAUAGAGUGGCCUAGGUCAGGUUCAAUUUAUUGAGUAUCACGACGUCAUAUAAGAACGUCACAGAGAACACGUCACACCAGCUCCAAUUUGCUUGCCAGUUUUUAGUUCAAAAAUUAUCAGAUAAUGUGACAUCUAUCUCGUACCAUCGGGUAAUAAUAAAAGUGUCUGUGGAUGGAAUAAAAUAUGGAUAGUUGAUAUACAAUAUUCAAAAAAAAAAAUAUAUAUAUAUAUAUACCAUACCGAUUUAAUUCCAGAUUAGGUCCGAGUCUUAGCAUUUAAAUUACUAAUAUAUCCAUCUAGUUUAUUUGAGCGGGCCUAGGUAAUAACUAUCUAUAUACUACUACUUGCUCGAGACUUGCUAUGAAUCAGGUCUAAUUCGGACACCGGUACCCGUAUGCAUAUAUUUUUUAGGUUAAUAAACUUUAAAUUUCUCACUUUAGUACCAUAUGGUUUAAAGUGUAUCAAUUUAGUGCCAUAUGAUUUUAUUUUUCUCUUUUUGUCAGUUUCUCCGCUAAUUUUUUGCUAAAUCAUAUAUAAAGAACUUCAGAUAUAUCGAGUAUUUACUUUAAUACUCUUUUGUUUUAAUUUUGUCAUUAAUUUAACAAAAAAAUUAGUGAAAGGGAUAACAAAAAGAGAAAUAAAAUUACAGGAGUACGAAAGUGAUACACUUUAAACCAUUGGGUACUAAAGUGAAAAAGGGCGAAACCACAGGAAUGGUAUUUGAAGUUUUUUCUAUUUUUUAUAGAUUUUAUUAAACUGUAGAGGCAACGGCGCACAGCUCAAGAAUUUUAUGAUUUCUUGGGGAGGAGGCAAGCUGCUUGUCGGAUCGGAAACGGAUCAAAUGGUGAGACGAGAUGUGGGAGACAAAGCUGCCUGGGUGGGAAGGAGGGAUCAGGGAGGGUCAGAGGGAUCGGAGAGGCAAAGUGAGCCGCUAGGAUUUGUUUUUUUUUUUUUUUUUUUUUUUUUUUUUUUUUUUUUUUUUAACUUCUUUCUUUAACUCAAGCAAUAAACAGGGAUUCCUAUAUGGAUGAAAAUACAGAGGCUUCUCAUUUAUAAGUCUAUUAAAAUUGAUUCCUCGACUGUAAAUCUUUUUUAUUUACUAUAAGAUAUUUCAUCUGUUUGGAAUCCGAGUCCAAAUUCAGAUUUGAAAACUAUUCCACACCCUACCCAUUAAAAGGUCGAAUUCAGGUUUGAUCCAAAUCAAAUAUGAAUAUAAAGUGUCCGAAUUCAUACCUAAAACUUUAAUGGGUAACUUCUUUUACCCGUAUACUAUUUAUUUUUUUAUGGGGUUCGGUUCAAGUCCGGGUAGAAUCCAGGUUGGGUAUGGAAUAUCAAGUGUUUUGGAUAAUUUUAUCUGGCAAAUUGAGUUAGAUACUAGUAGCAGCUUAACUCAUUAGCACUAAUCAUUUAUUCGAUACAAAAUAUUAGUUCAAAAUGUUUAAGUCCAGCAAAGAUUAUAAUAACUCUUAUUUUUUAUAUUGUUUAUAUAUGUAUAUAUAUAUUCUUUCAAUCACUUUCAAUCAAUGCGAGACAAUUGAAGCAUUGUAAAGGACAAAAAUUUUAUGGGUACCAGCCCCAAAUUACUUAAUUUGGGGCCAGUCCCACAGGUGUACCACGCAGCGCCCAUCAACCACUGCUCUCUCAAUAUGGGGAGAGCAGUGGAAAUUUUUCGGGUGCACCUGGUGCAUCUAUAUUAAGUGCACCAUGAAAUUAACUUUUGGUUUUUAAUUUUUUAAAAUUAUAAUUUUAUGUAAUAAUUUAUUUAUUUUUUUAGGAGUUACCAUGCAGAAGUUAAAAUUUUACACUCUAUUUGGUUUCAAAAAAAAGAAAAUAAUAAUAAAAAUCAAAAAAUAAUUUUAUGGUGCACCUAAUAUUGAUGCACCAAGUGCACCCGGAAUUUUCAGUGCUCUCCUAUAUUAGGAGAGCAGUGGUUGGUGGGCGGAUCUGGACGCUCCCCCAAAUUAAGUAAUUUGGGGCCGGUGCUCAUAGAAUUUUUGCCCCAUUGUAAGGCUCACAUAAAGUAACCCCUAAUUGGAAAGGGACUCCUAAUUCGAAAACGUUGGCUAAUAUCCUACUAGCUCUGUUUCCAGGCAUUUUGCUGCUUUUUCUUUUACUAGGAACAAGCAUUGCGCGUUCCUCUUCAUUCGUAAUAGUACCCAUUUACUUAGUUCAGGAGUUUCUCUACCUACACACACAUAUAUAUAUGUGUGUGUGUCAUUACCUGAGUUCGUACGUGUUCUUGUUGUGAAAUAAAUUUAUAUAUACUAUGCAAAUUAAGAAUCGUAUAUCGAUAUCUUAGUAGCUUCUUGAGAACUCGAUCAUCUCCAUGGAGGGAGUUUGCGCCACCUAUGACGGAAAAAAUAAAAAGCCGAAACGCCGGAAACGGGGUUGCGUCAAGAGAAGCAUCCUGGAGCUGCUCUGCUGCUGUAUUCUGCCGAUCACCAGGUAAUGUUCCUUGCCAAUCUUAUAUGUCUACACGUACCAACUACGUACGUAUCUAGCUUGUACGUAUAAAAAUAACCUUGCAAAUUUUAGGGUCUAUUGAAUGUAGAAUUUUCUUACCAACUUUGAGCUGUAUCAUUAUAUUCUUGGAACGAAAAAAAAAAAAAGAAAAAAGAAAAAAGAAAGAAGAUCGAAGAGCUCUUCAAUGAUGCCUCCUUAAUAAGUUUUCGAUUUUCUGUCAUCUGCCAGUUUUGUUUCCAAAAAUUAUAAAAGUGAGGUGAAGCGUAUAUCUUACACUCUUUUCAAUCGGGCGCUAUUGUUCACUACUUAUUAUGAAAUUUCUUGUGUUAUAAUUCUAUAAAUAUUUUUUUUUGAGAUUUAUUAUUAAAAUUAAAAUAUAUACAUAAAUUUCUAGAUUAAGGUAAAAUGUGCAUGUAGGAUUUGCUCCUCCCCCAACCUGCUUAUUCCCAAACCCUCUCCUUCGUUCUUCUCCUCCGCACGUGUCCUCCCAAAACCCUCUCCUUUCGCUCCUCUCCUCCACUCCAAACCCUAACCUCUGCUCAUCUCCUUCGUCGAUCUCGUUGAGGUAGAUCGAUUAGGGUUUUUGUGAUCUUUUUUCUUUUUUUUUUUUUUGCUUUCCCCCUUAACUCCUUGAUGUUUACGUUAUUCAAGAUCUUUAUGUGCUUCUCUUUGCUAUGAUCGAUCUAGAUUGGUCGAAGGAGGAUAUUUUUUCUCGAAUUUGCAUGAAUUUUGCACGUUAGGGUUUUGUUUUCUUUGCCCUUCUUGAUGUUGUGUAUUCUUUGUUUGAUCUCUUGUGAAAAGCGCAUUUUGGUGAAAUUGAUCCUUUCUAUUCAUUGUUCUGAUCAGUUAAUACAUGCUUGUAUAUCUCCUAAUUUGGAUUAUUAACUUAUAUGAUGUUAUUGCGUUUCUUCUUCGUCCUUUGGUGUUAUUCUCUAUAUCAUCUGCUCAACAUGAAACUGUAGUUUGUGAUCAAUGCUUAAUCUUAUUUGCGAUUACCUGGACUUUGAAUUGGCUUUUGCACGCAAAUUUCAGAUGUUCAUGAGUAAUACAGUGUUUGGUAUUUCCAACUGAUUAGUAAAAUUUAUAUUUGAAUGGUUCCAAACACAACUGAAAAAUAGAAUAUGGAAUUAGCUCUGUAAUUUCAUUGCCAGUAAGGUGUCUUCCACUUUCAACUUCUGUCUACUAAAUAUGUUGGAAAAUGUGAGCAUUACUAGAAUACUAUCGGUACUAAACAGCUCAGUUUACUACCGAUUUGUUUUCGAUAACAGAGCUUCUGACUCGAUGAUUGGUAUCGUUGAAUAUGGUUUAGACCAUUUAAGCUAUCUGGAAAUUAAAUUUUAUGCUUUUUCAAUAUUGUCCUCUUGUCUAUCAAGUGGACAUAAAAUGAAUGGCUGAAAAUGAAUAUCCUUCAAAAAGUAAUGAUACAAUUUUUGUAUUCAAGAUCUAGAGUUUAGAUUUUAUUUUAAAUAAUUUAAAAAAUUUUCUAACAAAAAUUCAGCUGAUUGAAACUCUUCUAUACCGUUAAAUGAGUAAAUGCAAUGUACUAGCCAUUAAAAUUACAAAUUUUGUGACCCUUUGAUCGUUCAUGUAGUGAUGUCGAAAAAGCAUCAAUUUUGCUUUCUAAUUAGUUUAAAUGGUCUAGAUCAUGCUCAACAAUACCGAUCGUCGAUUUAGAAGCUCUAUUAUUGAAAACAAAUCGGUAGUAAACUGAGCCGAUAAAUCUCGGAAAAUGUAUAUAUGAUAUACUUUUGCUUUGAUAUUAUAUUUUGCUCAUGCACUCUUUAGAAUUUUUCAACAUGUUUGUCAUUAGCUUAUCCAAUAUGCCACAGGGGUAAUCAAUCACCUUAGAAGGAAAUCCUACCCCCUCUCUUCUUGUGUAGCCAUAAAGAUUAGGUAAAAAUAUAUGGAACUUAUCUCAACUAUGGGCCAUUUGAAUUUGACUAUCCAAUUUUUUUGUAAUUUUGAUUUUACUGCCAAACCUUUUAAUUUGUUUGAUUUGAGCCAGUCAGUGGCACUUUAAUUCUAAAAUUUAAGCUAAUUAUUUAUUUUAAUUAACUUAUAGUUGUGAUAAUUCACUUAUAUAAUUGUAUAUUAUAUACUAAAUAAGUAUAUAAAAAUAAACGAUGCAUUCAUAUUUUGAAGUUAAAGUGCUGUUGACUGACUUAAAUCAAACAAAUUGAAAAGUUGGGCAGUUAAAUCAAAAUUUUGAAAUAUUGGGUAGUCAGAUCCAAAGGUUUCAUAAUUCAGAUAAGUUCCAUACGAUUUUACCUAAAAAUUGUGCAGGAAGUGUGCUUAAUAAGUUUUCUUCUUUAGCCUUCUGGAUAUAUACUCUAUAUUUUUCUUUCACUAAAACUUCUCCUGUGUACUUUGUUUACGGUUUAAUUGCGCUACUAGUCCCUGAACUUUCAGUUUUGUCUUACUUUGUUUCACUCCAGUCCCUGACAUCUUUACGCUGCUUUUUUUUCAUAUAAAACUUGAUUAGAAGUUUUUGUGCAAUUUAACCAAGAAGCAAACUUGUAGCGUCAUUAGAUAUUGAAUUCUGUAUAUUGGUGGAACACACUUAUCUUUUAGGGCCCGUUUGGUUCGAGUUAUAUAAUAUUACAAAGUAUCUCGACAUAUCCAGUUAUCUUGAAUUUUGGCGUGAGAUUACUACUGAUGCUGCACUAGCGCGAUUGGUUUAAUGCAGUAACGUAAUACUAGAUUACAGUGUUUAUAGCAUUAAUACGUUUGGUUCAGUUUAUAUAAUUUAGUAAUCCUGACAUAAAAGUAUAGUAUUUUCAAAAUUGCCUUGUUGUGGUCAUUUGAAUAUUAUUUUUUUACAAAAUAUAAUUUGCGGUAGUAAAAUAUAAUUUGCAGUAGUAAAUUAAUUUACAAAAAUAUAAUGUGCGAGAGAGAGAGAGAGAGAGAGAGAGAGAGAGAGAGAGAGAGAGAGAGAGAGAGACUGAGGCUUUUCUUAAUACUAUAUAUGGAUAGAGAGAAAGGGAUAGAGAUAGGAUAACUCGAACCCAACGGACCCUUAGCUUAUUUGGGAGAUACAUUGAGGCUUUUCUUAAUACUAUAUGUGGUAGAUGCUUUUAUUUGGACUUGCCAGUUUUUUGUUUUAAUUAGUUAUUAGUUUUCUAUUACCUUAAAUUGUGGAACUUUACCCUUUUUUUUCCUUGUUUGCUGCAGAAACGAAGAACGCGGAGCUAGGCAUUUCAAAUAGAAGAAUAUAUUUUUCUUUUUUCCCUUUUUUUUCCCCCUAAUCUUUUACUUACGAGUCUUUAAUGGGCAUGAAAGAGAUUAUUCUAACUUCUGUUAACCAUUUUAUAGUUGAAUAAUGUUAGUGUGUUGUACUAACUUGUUUUGAUGAUUAGUGCCCCAAUUGUUAUGAUGUGAAAGAUCAAGAAAUUAAUUUCUUUUGUCUUUGCUUCUUCACCUUUUGUAUUGUUAUAGUAGGGUUGUCAACAAGCUGAACAGGAGCGAGAUGGGUCGGCUCGUGUUUGCUCGUUUAUUAAACGAGUGGAACACGAAUUGGUUCGUUAAAAUAUUGAGUUAAAAAAUUUAGUUCGUAUUCGGCUUAUUAAUAAAUGAGAAUAACACAAGUUGGCUCACGAAUAGCAAAUUAGUUUGUCAGCUUCAUUAAACUUGGUAAAAAUUUGAGAGAAUUUUUUGAAAAUUACAAUUUUAAUUUGAUAAUUAAAUUUUAUAAAAUAUUGGUCUUUUUAUAUUUGAGUUGGUCUAAAAUAUAGAAAAAAAUUUGUACUAAUUAUUAUAUAUAUAUAAAUAUUAUUAUAUUAUAUUUAUGAUAUAUAAUAUGUCGCUAUGUGUUUGUAUAAGCACUAAGCUUGAGGUUGUGAUUGAUUUACCUGUUAAUCUCGUUUUGAUUAUUUCAUCCGUUAGAGAAAUAUAUAUUUCACCAAUUACAAGACCCUCAACCUAGGUUGGGUCUACUCAUUCUAAGACACAUCUCUAUCUAAUGGCGAAACAUUACUAAGCACAAUGGUUGGUAUUUUCAUAUAGAGAGUAACCGGGUAACAAUGAUCAAGGUUGAUAUACGGUUGCGUGGGGUGGUUGGUUGAUGUAUAAUCUAUGGGUGAAAAUGAUCAAAGUGAUAGAUUCUACGGUAAAAAUUCCAGACCAAGUGUUGCUUUUACAAGACUAGCGGAAUAAAUAUAUAUAUAUAUAAGCAGGGCUACUGUGCAUUAGGAGACAGACAGCACUUGUGCUUCUAACUUUUAAGCCACAUAGUUUGAUGUUGGAUAUAGAAAUGAGAGGGGAUGGAGAUUUGACGAGAUUGGGUGUUUAAUUUUUUCUUCUCUUGAAUUUCUCUUUAUAUAUAUAUAUAAGCUGUAUAACUAUCUGUAUUUCGGAGGUCGUGAUACCAAGUUGUUUUUAAUGAUGCGCGGCUUACAAAUCGGAUAUUUGACUCCGUUAGGAUUGACUCACUAUGAAAGAUAUUUGAAAUAUUUCUAAUUUCAGUUUUAUUAUCACGAUAGUCUAAACGAAUGGUAAAAAUAAAAUUUUGAUAAAUAAUGAUGAUAAACGACUUGAAUUUAAGAUCAAAAGUACUGAUUUCACUCUAAAUAGUGAAAAGAAUUUUCUAUAAAAAUUUCAUCAGAUUUUGAUUGUUUUACACCGUUAAAUUCACAAACGCAUCACAUCAACCAUUAAAAUUGUCAAUUUUAAGACCUUUCGAUCACUAGCCAAAUGAUGUCGAAAAAUUAUGAAAUUUAGUUUUCAAAUACUUUUAAUAGUAUAGAUCAAAUGUAACGGAGACGAUUUGAAGCAAGCCCUCUACUAUAUAAUAAUAAUAAUAAUAAUAUAUCCCUCUCCGCCCCUCUCUCUCUCUCUCUCUCUCUCUCUCUCUCCCCCUCUUCUCAAGUUUUGCUCACCAUGGCAUUGAGAGGCGCCAUUUUUCUCCGCCCACAACCUCACCCUCCUCCUCUCCCCUCUCCCUCUCCCUACGCCCGUCGCUUCCGCCGCUCCCUCGUCGUCGUCGUCGCUGCCGCCGCCGCGAGUCGUCGGCGGCGCCCGCAAAACGCCGAUGGCGAGUUCUUCGUCGGUGAGCGAGAUUCGGAACCUCAUCUCGUCGAUCUUACUUUCGUCUGGAAAACAAAAUUCGAAAUUUUGUGAAUCGGAGAAAGGAAAAUUGAAAGCGUUUUUGAAACUUUGUGGGCCUUUUAAUGCGUAAAAGUGGUAUUUUUAACUACCAGGACACCCCCCCUAGUCCCACGUCGACUAAGAAAGGAGCUAAUUUAAUUUGUAGCAGUUUUUGACUCAGAUGUUUAGUAUUGUUGCCAAAAAGUUCUAUAAGCCAAUUUAGUUCACGAAAGAGUAAUGUACCACUAACUUAGAAGUUAUAUAGCAGUGCUGUGAUUAAUGUAAUAUGUCUCAUUAUUUUUAUAUCAGCGAUGCAUUGAUAUUUAGUCAGCUAAAUUGGNCAUGAUUUAAACUCAAAUUUUUAAUUUUAAUGUAAAAUCUAUUGAUAGGAAUACUUUCUUUUAAGAGAUUGAUCACAACCAAUAAUUUUUAUUUGAAAUAUAUUUUAACAAAUUAAUCAUUACCAUUCGUGGGAUUUGACAUAUUGAUAUAUAAGAAUACUAUUUUUUAACAGAUUGAUCAUAAUGAGAUAUUUUUUUAACAAACUGAUUAUAACCGUUCGUAGGGAAUAUUCGUUUAUUCCUUUUUGGAUUCCGUCUGUCGUUGUCGGAAUUCCUAUACGCUUUUAUAUAUAGUAUAGACAUAUAUAUAAAAUUGAGCUGUUAUACUUUUAAAAGUAUCAAGUUAUAGUGCUUAUAGUUUUCGGCUCUUGGAUGUGCAAUUAGGAUGUUGGUCGGUCCCUAGAGUUGAGUAAGUGGUUGGUUAAAUCGUACAAUCUAAUGGGUGAAAAUAGUUAACGGGAUAGCUCUAACGGCGGAAAACUUAUAAGCAUCGUGUGCUUGGUGCUUUUAAAAGCACUAUAGCCAGACUCUCUCUUUCUAUAUAUAUAUAUAUAGAGAGAGAGAGAGAGUUCGCCUAGGGUGUUUUCGGAAGUAUAAAGUAGUUCGUGCUUCUAACUUUUUUAGUUCUUAGAUCAACCCGCUUGUCCAUUUUUAGUCCUUGAAUUAAUAUUAUUUUUCUAGGAAAACUACUAAUCUUUAGGAGGACUACUCAACCCUUGGGGGACUACUAUCAUCCCAACUUUAUAAUCCUUGAUCUAAGGGCGAAAGUCAAAAGCACUAAUUCCUAUGUUUCCGAAAGUAUAGUAACUCUACAAUAUAUAUAUAUAUAGUUGGACUGGGCUACUAUUAGUAGCAAAAUUUUAUUGUUGCUACCAGUUUUUUAGCUUUUGGAUCAACUAUUUUCAUCAUUUCUAACAAUUGGAUUAAAUACUAUAACCCAGUGGGGACCACUCAACCCUAGGGGGACUACUCAACUCUAACUGCGUAAUAUCAUCCUAACCCUACAAUUUUUCAUCCAAGGGUUAAAAACUUGAUAGCAAAAAGAGGGUUUUACUAUUAAUAGUAUUCCAGUCUAAUUCUCUCUCUCUCUUCUCCUCUCCCCCCUCUCUCACUCUGUCGUCUCGCUCCGUUCUCCGGUCUCUCUCUAUAUAUAUAUAUAUAUAUAUAUAUAUUAUAGAGUGAGGCUACUAUGCUAUCGGAAGCACGGCGCCUUCUGUGCUCCACUCAUUUUCGAUGUUUGUGACUUUCGAAUCGUCGAUCGGCUCCGUUAAAUUUGACCUAGAGUAUUGAAGUAUCUAGAAAAUAAAUUUUAUGAUUUUACGAUAUCAUUUGCCUAGUGAACGAGAGGGCUUAAAGAUCAACGGCUGAAAUAAAAUCUUAUAAAAUUGUAAUAAUAUGACAUUAAAAUUUUAAAUCAAAGAUAUUGAUCUUGUUUUUAGAUAUUUAAAGAAUUUCUAUCAAAAUUUCACGUGAUUUGGAUUAUUCUACACCGUUAACUUGCAAACGGCUCACUACCACCAUUGCAAUUUUGAUUUUGAGCCCUACGAUCACUAGGCAAAUGAUAUCGAAAAAUAUAAAAUUAUUUUCUAGGUGCUUCAAAUACUCUAGAUCAAGUUUAACGGAGCCGAUCGACGAUUCGAAAGUCGCAACAUCGAAAACGACUGGAAGCACGGAAGGCUCCGUGCUUCCGAUAGCAUAGAGCCUCACUCUAUAUAUAUAUAUAUAUAUAUAUAAUAUUAAUAUAUAUAUAUAUAAAGAGAGAGGAGAGAGAGAGAGAAGAGAGAGAUGCGCCCGGCGCGCGUAUCUGGCUGGUAUACUAUCGGUAGCACGGAGGUCUCCGUGCUACCAAGUUGUUUUCAAUGAUGCGGCUUCCAAAUUAACGAUCAGCUCCGUAGAUCUACACUAUUAAAAAUAUUUGGAAACUAAAUUUUAUAAUUUUUCGACAUCAUUUGGCUAAUGAUCAAAAGAUUUCAAAAUUGACAAUUUUAAUGGUAGAUGUGAUGCAUUUGUGAAUUUAACGGUAUAAAAUAAUUCAAAUCUGAUGAAAUUUUUAUAGAAAUUUUUUUUUAUUAUUUAGAGUAAGAUCAAUAUCUCUGAUCUUAAAUUUAAGUUUUUUAUCAUUAUUUUUAGUUUGCAAAUAUUUUCAAUAGUGUAGAUUAAGUCUAACGGAACCAAUCGUCGAUUUGAAAACUUCAUCAUUGAAAAUAAUUUGGUAGUACGGAGGCUUCCGUGUUACCGAUAGUAUACCAGCCUAGCUCUUGUAUCGCAUCUACCAUUAAUUUUCUCUCUCUCUCUAGAUAUAUAUAGAGAGAAAGUCCAACUGUGGUACUUCCAGUAGAAUAAAGAAGUUGAUACUUCCAAUUUUUUUAACCCUUAGAUUAAUCCCAUUUCUAGCUAAGCUUAUUUUUAACUAAGUUUAUUUCCAAAUGAAAUAAACGAAGCGGGUAGCAUGCUACCUAUCUCUAAAAAAAAAAAAAAAAAAAACCCUUAGAAUAAUCCUUUUCAUCGUUUCUAUUCAUUGAAUUAAUAUCAUUCCGUUAGAAGAACCACCAAACCCUAAGGUAUCGUUUGGUUUGGAAAUAAGGAAAAGGUGGCUAUGAUUAUAUAUCCGCAUUUUACUUUCUCAUUAAUAAUUCAAUAUGAAACAAUCUACAUAUUAAGUAAUAUAAUUUGUUACUUUAACAAAAAGAAACAGUACUCAACAGGCCAACUAAUAAAAAGUGAAAAUGAUCCGGUUCAUCGAUACGAUAAAUAUCAAAAAAGAGUCGAGAAAAAGAAAAAAAAUAAAGCAUGCAAAUGCUAACGUGGUUUAGCCAUUUGCCUAAGUCCGUACGAUCCAAAAUUAAAUUAGAAUUUUCUAGAGAGAUGCCAUGAAUUGUAAUUAUUUUAACUCUAUUAGAAAUAGAUUACAAUUUAAAGUUGGUCUAAACAAAAUGGGUCGGCUUGAUUUAGUGCACAUGUUUAGAGCCGGGUCGGACUGAAUCUUCUAAGCCUCCGGCCCAGCACGGCCCUCCUACCCGAAGGCAUGGGCCGUGCCCGGGACUUGCCCCUUAAUAUUUUUUUGUUAUUUUUAAUUUUUUUAAAAAUAUUAUAAAAUUUAAAGAUAUGAAAAAUUAAGAGUCCGGCCGGAAUGAUUUUAAUAGCAGCAAGUGCUUGAUGCUACUAAAUUUUUCACCGUUAGAUUUAUUUCUUUGACCAUUUCUAUUCAUUAAAUCAUACGAUUAAACUAACCAGACACUCGAUCUCAGGAGAUCGCUACCAUCUUAACUGUACAUUUCUUUAUCCAAGAACCGAAACUUAAUAGCAUCAAUUACUUUGUGCUAUUAAAAGCAUUCCAGCCUAAUUCGAAAGAUUAAAAUAUUUAUAUUUUAAACUGAUAUUUUGAUCAGAAAACUUAAAAUUUAUUAAAAAAAUAUUAUAAGAUAACAAAUAGUAUAAUUUUUUUAAAAAUAAAAAUUUUUAUUUUUGUCACGCCCCGGAUGUCUCGUUCCCCGGGCACGCCGACAAAUCCGCCGUAUACAAAAAAAAUUUUCUGUAUACGAAGCGUCAACAGUACCUAUAGAUAUGCAAUACUACAAACAGUAGCAUAGAGCUGCUAAAUAAACAAAAGCUAAACCAACUGAGCUUCAUGUACAUAGUUCAGAAACCAAAAUACAACGUUACUCGCACUGGCGAGUUAAGUACUAUGUACAUAAGCUCGAAGUAAAACAACUACCUGCUGUGGGGUGCCUCUAGCUCUGUCAGUCGGGUAGGGCUCUAGCUCGCGACGCCCUUGCCUCGAUCCUGAUCCGCGGAAGGCGCAGCAGCCAAAACCUGUGGCUCUGCAAAAACAUAGGUAACAACUGGGCGUGAGAACUACUGUUAAAACAAGUAGUCAUCAGUGGGUACCGCCCAAAACAACAUCGGUCCACCCACUAAGUCUACAGAAGGGAGUAAGAGUAGUCAGAAAAGCAGGAAAUAAACUCUACCGCUAUCGAUCACUACACUAUCAUGCUCUACACUAACCAACUGUAGGAAAUGUCAAAUCUGACCCAAUCCAAUCGGGACUGUAAGCAUACCCGUCCCCGGGACUGUGAAUACACCCGUCCCUGCCCCGUUGCGACUAUCGGGCUCUAUCCACACUAACUGGUCCGUGGAGAGCAAGUCCAACUGGCAUGAGCGACACCAACGCGAAAGCACAAAGCCUGACUCCGGAGUGGCACUCGUGGGCGCUACCCAACCGAGUAUGCAGCGUAUCUCUGUCGAGCUCAAUCAGGCUCCAACUAGCCAAAGUCAAGUGAACAGGGUCAAAACAGGUCUACAAACCAAACCCACGUGCCCUCGGCACAAUCUGUGACCAAAACAAGAAUCUGGGUCCACCGCUAACCCGAACGGCACCCAACGACCCGAAACAGCCUAAACUCUGCUGAAAAAUAAGCUCGGCAUCCCAGCACGAGCGUAAAUGCCUUCUAAACUACCCCAGGUAUCCAUCGCAACGAUACUGCAACGAUACAAUCGAAUCACGGCUCCUAGAGCUAAAUCUGGUAGUUUAAGCAUAUGACGAUUCCAAUCGUGUUUUCUCCUAAGUCAAAUCCCAGUCCAACAUGUACAUUUAAGAUUUACUAGUCAUGUUCUCAAUACUGAUUAUAUCCAGGAUAGCAUCACGAAUAUCAAGCUACAACAUGAUUACCGAAACUAAAAAUCAUACAUGUCGACAAUUACGGUACUUAGGAAUAAACCGAUGUAAACCCACCUCGAAAGCUAUCCCCUGGCAGCGGUACACUCUCACAGCUGUGGCGCCACCUGCUGGGUCGAUCGUAGCCCUUCGAACCCAAGGAUCGCGCUAACUCCAAGCUCUACACCAAACAAUUCACCGUUUCAGUCUAGUUUUCGCAGCAGUGGAGUACAACAAGAAUUCGACCAAGCUAACCUUCACCAAAAUUCACAAGUAAGGGCUUCGUAGAUUUCUCUCGAAGUUCCGAAUCCAACGAACCAAGUCUCGUCGCAAUCCGAUACUCCUACGUCGAGAACGAGCUGAAAUACUAACAGUCGACGGUGGAUUUCAGCAAACAAUAAUUUACCGAGUUGAAGUAGUAAAAACUUGCCCAAAAUCCAGGAAAAUGCUGAAUUACUCACCUCGACAACACCGGGCACCGCUGCGACAGAAAAACGGCGAAAACUUCUGCUCGCCCGGCCUUCUCGCGCUACCGGGCGUCAAACACGAGCUCGAACGACUCCGCGGCGCGAUGUCGACGAUGAAAUCCGAACUCCACCCGAGCUCCACCGUGCACAAGAACCCAGCUAGAGAGAGAGAGGAGAAUAAGAAAAGCUUCCUCUCUCUGCUCUACACCACACUAUAAAGAAGGAGAGAAAGGGGUGAUACAAACGAGGUGGAGAAAUUACCUAAUUACCCUGUCACCUACCCCCUUGUACCGGUACACGGGCUCCUGUACCGGUACAAGAGCCAACCCGAGAGCAGUUGAGCCAUUGCGCGAUGGUUGUACCGGUACAGCCACGCUGGUUGUACCGGUACAGCAAGCAGAGAAUGCUGCUGUUUUGCAGAAUUCUUCGCGAUAAGCUGCCCUCGCAUCGCACGGAGUCCGUUUUACGUCUAUUUGACGCCAACGCGACUCGGACUUGUCCCGACACUCUCCAGAGUUGUCGACAAGCCUCCACAGCCAUACACCAGGGAUUUCACAAUUUUUAUUUUAAAAUUUUGAAUUGGGAGGAGUUCUUAUCUGUUGGACCGAAACAUUUCUGGUCUGUUGAACCAAAACCCACUCUCCUCGCCAGGUUCGUGCUGGCCCGGUUGGCAUGGCCCAAUCGGGUUGUGCUGUGUUAGGCUAGGGGCCGCACCCCUAGUCUGACUCAGCACAACCCGACCCGCAAUCGGUCAGGCCGUAGUAGCCAACAGGCCCAAGGGCAAAGGCGUAGCACGACCUUCACUAAUGGGCCGGACUGGCACAAGUACUGUAGCAUCUGUGCCGUGCUCCACGGCCAGUAAUCAUGCCCAGUCAGGUGGCCUGGCUCUUUUGAAUGAGAGAGUGUUGAGCCGAGCGCGCACGCGCGCGCGCCAGAGAGAGAGAGACGAGUUGAAAUUUUUGGUAUAUAAUUUUUUAAAUUUUCUUUUGGUAUUUUUACACCCGACAAUUUAGAUUUUUUUUUUUUUGUUUUUGUCAUGAAUAAUUAGUAUUAGAGUAAAUUUGAUGUCAGAGCAAAUCACAAAUUCAUAAUAUAUAUAUUUAUUAUUCUUAAUAAUUACUCAUAAUAAUAAUAAUGUAUGCAACACCAUACAUAUAUAACUUCCUAAGUACAGUAAUUCGGAGUUAUCGAUUACAUACGAAGGUCAGGAAAGGCUACCUUUAACAUACCUGCAUACACGACCCUAAAUACUAAAAGCUAUAUAUGUUAUACGUAGGAAAUACACACAUAGUACGUAGCUAAUAGGUAUACAUCACAUCACCCGCAACGUACAUUACUCGGUCGGCGGUUUACACAAGCAGAGGAGCUUCAGGAUGCUCUUCAUGACGCCACCGCAUUUUGGCCCUCCUUUCGGAUUCUCAUUGGCGGCGCAAAACCCCUCCAUGGAGAUCGAUCGCGUAGUAUAUAUAUCUGUAUUUAUUUAUUUUGCGACGACAAUUCACAAGCUAGCCACUGCAAUGCAAUAUAUUGGUAGAGAAUAACUGAACAUAUUUAUAUUUAUCCUAUCAUGAACUAAGGAGGAAGGUGGAAUGUUCGUUUCCAGGAAAAGAAUUGAGCAGUGCAUGGGAAUUGGGUUAGCAUGUAAGUUUAUUUACCAUCCACUUUCCAGUAAAGAUCCACUGCAACAAAUCUUGCUCUCAAAGACACUUUAGACAAUAACUAGUGACGUUUUAAAAUAUCGGUAAGAAUAAUCCUGACGUUUGUAAAAAUGUCGAGCAAAAAAUCGUUAAGUAAACAUGUCGGAAUAAAUAUAUCAACGCUAGCUUUAAUAUAGUAUAGAAAACUUUUUAUCUGUAUAUAAAAAAAAUAUGUUUAUUAGUAACGCAUAAUUAUAAUGUCGGUACAUGCCAAAUGUUGAAGACGCUAAAAUAGAGCGUUAUCAAAAAAAAAUAUCGUCUAAAAUAUAUUUUGUUGUAGUAUGAAUUUGUUUAUGCAUCUCAACAUGCAUAUGCUUCCAAAGUCCAAACAGGACUCCUGUGGUUUUACCUAAGAUUAAUCUAAUUGUGGGUUAACCAAAUGUUGCCAUGCAGGCCAUGUUGGGGUUUUGAUUCUAGGUUAAACUUUGUUGAAUUGAUUAAAUUCAGUUAAUAAAUUUAUUUGUCUAUAUAAAAAUUAACUUAAAUUACGUACGAUAAUCUUAUUCUUAGCUUAAUGGUACAUUAUAUAUAGUUAAUAAUAGAAUGGGACCGUUUAAGCAUAUACCUGCAUCUUGUUUUUACAUAAAAAAUGAGAGAACCAAUCACAAUCCAAAAUAGUAAAAUUUAUUUGUUUUAUAUAUGUUGUUGUCAACGAGUAACUUUUCUAUGAACAUCGAAAAUAUAUCAAGUAUAAUUUAAUACGGCUAAGUUUCAAUUAAAUUGAACUGUUAUUAUCUGUACAUCCAUAUAUAUAUAUAUAUAUAUAUAUAUUUUUAUAUAUAUAUAUAUAUAUAUAUAUAUAUAUAUAUAUAUAUAUAUAUAUAUAUAUAUAUAUAUAUAUAUAUAUAUAACCUAAUCCAAAUUUAAGAUUUGAAAAUCCAAAUACAAGAUAUAUAAAAUUUAAAAUUAUGAAUUACGAAUUUUAAAUUUUAAUCGAGAAUCAAAGAGAAAAAAAAUUUUAGUUCAAAAUAGGAAUCGUAGUUUAUUCUUUCCUUGAUUCUUUUCUGACUAUUGCAUUUUCUUUCAGCCAACUUUUACAGUCUUUUUUCGACUUCUACAACUCUAAAUUCCAGUGUUUCUAUGGUUGAUUCUGCUACUGUUGCAUUAACUGCAUAUACUUUGAUUUGUUUGUUAUUAAAAAUUUUUUAAUAUUUCUCAUGUAUUUACUAUUUUGUUUUUUUUAGCUUUUUUUUUUUUACGAGAUUUUAAAUAUUUUUUCAGUUUAACUAUCCAUCAAAUUUUCUUCUCUUAUAGUUCUAUUUUUUUUUCUCUUUAUCUGUUCUCUAUGUUGGAAAUAUGAUAUAUUAUUUACAUUGUGAUGACUAUUAUAACUUAAAGAGAAUGAAGAAUAAAUUUUAGUACAAAAACUAAAAUUAGAUAUCGAAUAUUAUCUACCGUCACAUUACGCGGCUUGCUACACUAGUAAAAUAUAAUAUGCCAUGUAUUGAAGUGCACGUGUGCACACGGGACGCGUGCAAUAAUUUCGCUUUAUCAAUUGAAUCUUACUUAAUUAAGAGUGCACUUCUCUUCGAAACAGUAAAGUGUGAAGUUUCUAUAUAUUCCUAGUAAUUUUAUACUAUUCCUAGUAAUUUUACAGUUCCCUUCGAAGAACGUACGUGGCUGCAGACAUGGAGAAGUCGGAAAAACGAAAUAACAUUGGACCCCCCCUCCUCACAAAAUUCAAGCUAUUCGAUUAAUUCCCACUUUCCACAAAAUUCAAGCUAUUUGAUUCCCACUUUCCAUUAAUGAUCGGUUACUACAUGACGUUUAGGGCACGUUUGGUUCGCACUAUGAAAGAUUACUAGGAGUAAAAAGAUAUCCGAGAAUCUUAUUUCUAUUCAUUCUAUUACUAAGAAUGUGGCAUUCAUGUGUUUGGUUCGCACGGUCAUAUUAUUUAGUCAUGUUAUUUAAGUUUACAAAAAAUAUACAAUUUAUUUAUUUAUUUCUUUAAUUAAUUUUAGAUAAUGCUACCAAAAAUUUCAACAUCUUUUUAGAAAAAAUAGAAAGAAAAUAUAGGUUAGAGAGAGAGAGCAUAAUUAAAUAAUAGGAAGAAAAAUAGAAUCGACAUUAGAGGGAGUGAGGGAGUUGAAAUUUUAGAAAAAGAGAGGGAGAGAGAGCUUAGUUUAGAGAGAGAAAAAGAGUUGAAUUUUAGAGAGAAAAAGAUAAGUUUAGAGAGAGAUAUGAGGUUAGAGUGUAAAGGAUAAUAAUACUAACUAGCCGGCGGGUAGAGAGAAAAAAAGAGAUUAUACAUAUUAUGAUUACCCAAUUUAUUAAUAUGAGGAUACCCACUCUCCCGCAAGGGAAUGAGAUUAGUACUUUGAGAUGAAUCUUAUUUCCAAGUGAAUCUAAUAUUACCAACUAGAUUACUUAGUGCCUUUAGCCAAACACCGUCAUAUUUUUUUAUUCUCAUUGCAUUAUUAGGAAUCUUAAAAAGAUAGCGCGAACCAAACGCACCCUUAGUUCAUUUCACUUUGUUAUUUUGUGAUUCGUAUCCAAAUAUCAAAAUCGGAUCGAGUUUGCUUAUUUUACUGGUUUUUCGAAUUAUUCUUAUCUUGUUGCUUCUAUGUACGUAUCUCGCAUUUUCCCACUGAGUUCUCGCCUUCUCCCAUGCAUCCACACUCCACACACUUCAAAACCCCUCAUCUUCUACCGCACGUCACACUCCAAAACUUCGAAAACAUAAGUGAAAAUUCUAGAGAGAAAACGGAGAGAGAGGAUGAAGAAAUUUUUGUUUUCUCGUACGUUUAAAAUUCGAAAGAAAAGGAUAGUAUUUAUAGAUUACCCUAACGUAGACGCACCAUAGGGCAACAUGAUUUAACUAUCACUAAAUAAAAUAUUAAAACAAUAAUUUUUGCAAACUAGAAAAUAGUUAAUUUUUGAAUUAAUAAAAAUACACAUAACCUCUAGAAGACAAAUUAAAAUGAAAAAUGUCAGCAACACACCCCAUAUAGGGGUAUUACACCCUUGCAUCCAAGGGUAUAUUUUUUAUAUCUUCAAAUUUUUAAUAUUAAAAAAAAUGUUAAUAAAAUACUAACAAAUAUAAAUGAAACAUAAUUUUUUAAAAAUUAGGUUUUAUAUAUAUAUAUAUAAAACAAAUAAAUUUUACUAUUUUGGAUUGUGAUUGGUUCUCUCAUUUUUUAUGUAAAAACAAGAUGCAGGUAUAUUCUUAAACGGUCCCAUUCUAUUAUUAACUAUAUAUAAUGUACCAUUAAGCUAAGAAUAAGAUUAUCGUACGUAAUUUAAGUUAAUUUUUAUAUAGACAAAUAAAUUUAUUAACUGAAUUUAAUCAAUUCAACAAAGUUUAACCUAGAAUCAAAACCCCAACAUGGCCUGCAUGGCAACAUUUGGUUAACCAACAAUUAGAUUAAUCUUAGGUAAAACCACAGGAGUCCUGUUUGGACUUUGGAAGCAUAUGCAUGUUGAGAUGCAUAAACAAAUUCAUACUACAACAAAAUAUAUUUUAGACGAUAUUUUUUUUGAUAACGCUCUAUUUUAGCGUCUUCAACAUUUGGCAUGUACCGACACCAUAAUUAUGCGUUACUAAUAAACAUAUUUUUUUUCAUAUACAGAUAAAAAGUUUUCUAUACUAUAUUAAAGCGUUGAGAUAUUUAUUCCGACAUGUUUACUUAACGACUUUUUGCUCGACAUUUUUACAAACGUCAGGAUUAUUCUUACCGAUACUUUAAAACGUCGCUAGUUAUAUAUUGUCUAAAAUGUCUUCGAGAGCAAGAUUUGUUGCAGUGGAUCUUUGCUGGAAAGUGGAUGGU